rnacentral:rRNA from 1 species
CCUACGGGUGGCAGCAGUAGGGAAUAUUGCUCAAUGGGGGAAACCCUGAAGCAGCAACGCCGCGUGGAGGAUGAAGGUUUUCGGAUUGUAAACUCCUUUUGUUAGAGAAGAUAAUGACGGUAUCUAACGAAUAAGCACCGGCUAACUCCGUGCCAGCAGCCGCGGUAAUACGGAGGUUGCAAGCGUUACCCGGAAUCACUGGGCGUAAAGAGCGCGUAGGCGGGAUAGCAAGUCAGCGGUAAAAGCCUGGGGCUAAACCCCUGCGAGCCGUUGAAACUGGUUGUCUUGAGAUGUCGAGAGGUAUGCGGAAUGCGCAGUGUAGCGGUGAAAUGCUUAGAUAUUGCGCGGAACACCGAUUGCGAAGGCAGCAUACCGG